rnacentral:rRNA from 1 species
AACGAACGCUGGCGGCAGGCUUAACACAUGCAAGUCGAACGCUGUAGCAAUACAGAGUGGCAGACGGGUGAGUAACGCGUGGGAACGUGCCCUUCGGUUCGGAAUAACUCAGGGAAACUUGAGCUAAUACCGGAUACGUGCGAGAGCAGAAAGAUUUAUCGCCGAAGGAUCGGCCCGCGUCCGAUUAGCUAGUUGGUGAGGUAAUGGCUCACCAAGGCGACGAUCGGUAGCUGGUCUGAGAGGAUGAUCAGCCACAUUGGGACUGAGACACGGCCCAAACUCCUACGGGAGGCAGCAGUGGGGAAUAUUGGACAAUGGGCGCAAGCCUGAUCCAGCCAUGCCGCGUGAGUGAUGAAGGCCUGAGGGUUGUAAAGCUCUUUCGCCAGGGAC